GCCUCCCUGACCUACUGGUUCCAUCCGGGUCAGCCCAGCCUCUGGACCUCCCCGGCGGUUUGUGCUGGAGGCAACCCAACCCUGAGCGAUGCCUCACCUGGUACCUAGUAUCACACAUUCCCCAAAGCAUGACCCGCACUGUGGCCCUGGGGAAAGUCUCCUGGCAGGAGAGCCAAGGUCCUUGGUGCAGUUGUGGCACCACAGAAAGAAGCCACCUGAAUUCCUUGGCUUGUGGCUCCUUCCUCCAUCUUCAAAACCAACAACAGCAGAUCAAGUCCUUCAUAUUGCAUCCUCUGACCUCCUGCUAUGCUUUUCAAACUUUUUUAUUAGCAAAAUACAAUAUUUAAUGGAUUUGUGCUUAGCAUGCCUAAGAUUAUUUGACCAUAAGGAAGGUCUUAAAGGACUAAGGAAAAGUAGGAUGACAGUUAAAUUGCCUAUUUGAACAGUACUACAAUAAAGAAGGAAAACUGAG
ensembl:lncRNA